CCUACGGGAGGCAGCAGUGAGGAAUAUUGGUCAAUGGUCGCAAGACUGAACCAGCCAUGCCGCGUGCAGGAUGACGGUCCUAUGGAUUGUAGACUGCUUUUGUACGGGAAGAAACACUCCUACGUGUAGGGGCUUGACGGUACCGUGAGAAUAAGGAUCGGCUAACUCCGUGCCAGCAGCCGCGGUAAUACGGAGGAUCCGAGCGUUAUCCGGAAUCAUUGGGUUUAAAGGGUCCGUAGGCGGCCCUGUAAGUCAGCGGUGAAAUCUCCCGGCUCAACCGGGAAACUGCCGUUGAUACUGCAGGGCUUGAAUUGCCGGGAAGUAACUAGAAUAUGUAGUGUAGCGGUGAAAUGCUUAGAUAUUACAUGGAAUACCGAUUGCGAAGGCAGGUUACUACCGGCGUAUUGACGCUGAUGGACGAAAGCGUGGGGAGCGAACAGGAUUAGAUACCCUGGUAGCCCACGCCGUAAACGAUGGAUACUAGCUGUCCGGCGCAAGCUGGGUGGCUAAGCGAAAGUGAUAAGUAUCCCACCUGGGGAGUACGAACGCAAGUUUGAAACUCAAAGGAAUUGACGG
rnacentral:rRNA from 1 species